GUGUUCAGGAAGCGCCAGGGGAGUGGGAGGGAAGAACAAGACAUGAGGAGAAGGAACUGGAGAGAAAGGCAGAAAGAAGUGAACAGAGGAGCCCCAAGGAGGAGCAAGGUGAGAAGAAAGAAGCAGAAGAGGACGAGAAAGGGGCCGGCCUCAAACGAGAACCAGGAACAGCGGGAUUGAGGUCAUCAACUCUUCCCAUCUGAGGCUCACUAUUGUAAGAACAUCGUUGACCUCAUGGAUUGAGGGGGUACCAGCUGAAGUCAUUGAUCAGGAGAGGAGACCAGAUGUCUCCCACUCAGGAAUGAAGUUGCUGUGGAAAGGGGAAGAGUCUGGCCUGUGACACAUCAAAAAUAAUGGCCACGUGGUGAACAGGGAAGGCUGGUUCAGAGGAGCUCACCUCAUGCUCACAGAAACUCUACAAGGAUCCGUGCAUCUCAACUACUACCCUCCACCUACUAUCUGAGAUCUUCUGUGGCUUUUCUCCUUCGGCCCAAAUCAGGAAAUGCGAGUCAGGGUUGAGGAGCAGGACAAAGACUUCAGCGAGAGAGGUACUGGUAAUUAGGGCAAGAGAACCUAAAAGAGACUUGAGGUUUCCUGGCCUCUCCCCGGAGGCUGAUGAUUAUGUGAUGUAAUCCACAUUCUUGCAUUCCUUCUGGAAGUAAAAAGCAAGGAUUUUCAAGAUAAUUGCCUAAGAUUAAAGGCCAUUCUUUUGCCUUG